CGGGGUGUGGUGUAAUGGCUAACAUACACGAUUCGGGUUCGUGCGACUCCCGGUUCGAGUCCGGGCACCCCGA
rnacentral:tRNA from 1 species